UUAAGUCUUUACUAGUUAAAAAGUAUGAAAAGGAGACGAAGAUUAAGAUUAUACAAAGAAAAUAGAAAGAUCAAUUUUUUUAGAAAUGCACGAGGCUGCACGAAAAAUAGCACAACAAAUAAAAUUAUUACAAAAAUGUGGUCAUCUCGUGUAAAUAUAUGCUGUUUGGCAUAAUGGCAGAUCUGAGGCCCCCAGGAACCCGCCAUCAUGAUCACAAGAAAUGCAAGCUUGUGCUGCAUGGUAUCCACCUGUCAUCAGCACCAAUCUCAGUGUCAUCGCUUGGAUAAACAGCAUCCCUUUUGAUUGGAGAGACUACCGGUGUCUGUCGAGUUACGGAUCGCUUCUUCCCCUGUCUUUAAAUCCCCUAUGUCCUCGUGUACACCCAUGUGAGUGUGGGUGUAUUCACGCGGACCCCCUUUUCCCUACCUCGCCUGGUGUAUUCAACUUUCCUGUGGGUUGAGCACUUGUAGAUGGAUGCCUGGCCCGGCAUGGCCGUAUUUCCCGGGAUU